GAAAUAAAUGACAGGAUUUAGUCUAAUUCUUCCUUAUGUAUAAGAUGAGGCAGAUUCAGAGAGUUGAUGGCUUCAUCAAGAUCACACUAGUUGGGGGGGGGGGGGUUAUUGUAGACAGAAUAAUGUCCCUGAGCAGUGGUCACAUCCUUAUUUAGGAUGUGUGUGAAUGUGUUCCCUUAGAGGGUAAAGGAAGUAUCUUGUGGCCAGAGCUUUUUCUGGAGUGGCCAAGCAUAAUCACAAGGAUCAUUAUGAGACGGAGGCAGGAGUGACAACAGAAACUGAGAUCUGGAAUCCAAGAGCUCAAGCAGCUUUAGGAAGUGGUAACCCAUGGGACUGUCUGAACACCUCUGUGACCAAGCCAGCUCAGUCAGUCAACAGGGCUCGAGGGAGGGAGGAUUGAAAGUAAAAAGACAACUAGACAACACUAGAACAUGACCCUGACCAGUUCUGAAGUUGAAGCUGACAUGGGUUUAUUUCUUUCCAGUCUGCUUUUAAAUCAUUUUAGGUACAUACUAAGAAUACGGUCAGUCCUAAGGCAUAAACAAAGUAGUCAAGGAACAAACAAGGCAUAAACAAAGGCCCCAUGAUUGUUGUAUUCAGGAUCUUAACAAAACCCAUCAAGAUAUAAAAAACCACAUUUCUCAGCUGUAUUCAUCUUGAGCUUGCUUUCUUGUCCUAGCCCAAUGACAAAUCCCUGCCAAAUUCCUAGCUCUCCAUCUCAGCACCUUAUGAUGUGUGGCUACAGGCAUGGUCUCCUUCAGUGGUGGGUAGAGGGAAACAUUCAUGGAUUAGGUCUCUCAAAACCAAGCUUUCUGUCUUAGGACUUCCAUUGCUGUGAAGAGACACCAUGACCAAGGCACAACAUUUAAUUGGGACUGGCUUACAGGUUCAGAGGUUCAGUACAUUGUCAAGGCGGGAGCAUGACAGCAUCUAGGCAGACAUGAGGCUGGAGGAAGUGAAAGUUCUACAUUUUGAUCCAAAGGCAGACAGGAGAAGACUGUUUCCAGGCAACUAGGAGGAGGGUUUGUCUCCAAGCUCACCCCAACAGUGACAUACUUCCUCCAACAAGGCCACACCCACUCCAACAAGAUCACAGCUCCUAAUAGUACCACUCCCUGAGCCAAACAUUCAAAGCACCGCAUUUCCUCACUGAGACAUCACAGUGGCCCUGGUUGGAGAGAACCUCUGUCUCAACCAUGUGGGAACGGAAGAUUGUGCACAGCCAGUGUGUACACAUCAAAUCUUGUUUCCCACUCUACCUAGAUACUCCUGUGGCUGAGUGAUGAAGUCACACACAAGCUUUGACCAGACCAAGGGCACUGGCCAGGAGGGGAGACUGGGAGAACUUUCUCCAGGAGACAGUCAUGUCCAGAGAAGUCCAAGAAGACAUAUCAUAUUACACACAGGGACGGCAAAACCAUCAAGUCUGGAUUAGUUGUCAUCCUGACCUUACUUCCUCUGGGUCUCUUCCAAGUACCCAUGACCACUCCUCCCUCCUUACCUUGUGUGUGUGUUCGGGGGUGGGGGGGGGAUGGGAUUAGAGAUGGGGAGUGACUUCAGUUGUGGUUAUAACAUGAGUUAUGGAAAAUUUACAGCGACUUACGAUCACAUUCAGGAUUUCAGAAGAAACUUGGAGAGACACAGACCCUGAAGCCAGAGCUUCACUCUAUCUGUGUAAGUGAGGGAAUGUUGACCCUUCAUUGUCUUCAGGGUGAGACGCCUCUGGUAGUAGAUACGCCUCUGGAUGCACUUUGAGGGAGUUUAUAGAGAGGUUUUACUGAGGAGAGGAGACCCACCCUGCAUGAGGCAAAGGCAGAAAGUGAGCUGACCUUCAGGUGCACCAACCAGCAGCAUGUGCUAGCCAAGAGCCAAGGCAAGGACAAGUGUCCUGCUGAGGGCAUGGCAAAGGUCAGGCAGCGGAGAUUCUGUACAGCUGAAUGGAGGAGAAUUCUUGCAGCUUCCCAGGGCUGAGUUUGAUAUAUAUGCUACUUCAGUAUAUGCAAACUCACCGACAGUUGUAAAGCCAACACCCAUUCCUGAAUGAAAAGUCAUAAAAGCUACAAGCCCAAUACACUUCAGGUUAGUGGUAUUUAUUUCACUUGAUGACUGUUGGUGUGAUGAAAUUAACUUGUCACUCACAGAGUGGACAGAGCUGUCCUGCCAUCUUCAUUCUGAACUGAGUCUCUUUACUGCUUGGAUUUGCUAGGACCCUGGUGUCCUGGUACCAGCUUUCCAUCUUAACCUUCAACUGCCUGAAGCAGGAGGAUUGAAAUGGGUUUGAAACGAGCUGGACCACACGGUAAGAGGUGCCAGCUUUCCCAGAAUAAACGUACUGGGGCAGCUGCUCUCUGUGCCAGCUGCAUCCAUCUUGCUUGGUGAUGAUCAGCCAACCUGCUCAGCUUCCUUAGUAAAAGUAUCUGCUGGGCUUCUGCAGUCUGUCCCCUCACAACAGAGAAUUUGGCAGUCAGGGCAAGAUUGAAAGGUUAUGAAGAACAGACUCAGAAACUAAAUAUCUUAGCAACCAAGAAAAAAAGGGCACGGAGUGUCUCAGGAAGUCACAGACGCAUGGUGCUGUGAAUAAUGUUUGUGACAGUGACCCCGAGUGAAGGAGGAUGGCUGAGUAGUGCCAACAAUCUCACGCUUAGGAGAGCAAGACAAUCCCAUGCGUAUCCUUACACAGUGCAGCUCUCUUCAGGCUUCAGUGUAUUCCUUUGUGACAGGGAGAAGAAUGUUUGUGUGUGUGUUUGUAUGUGUGUGUGUGUGUCUGUGUGUGUGUGUGUGUCUGUGUGCGCAUGUGUCUGUGUGUGUGUGUGUGUGUGUGUGUGUGUGUGUGUGUGUGUGUGCACACGCGCGUGCGCGCGUGCGUGCACAAACUCACCGCCUCGGAUGAUUAGCCGUGCCCCUCCCCACCCCAGCACUUAAGGCUGCUGCUAAUUGCUUCACCGGCAGGGUUCUGAAGUGACACACUGGCCCUUCUGAGCUUUCAUCUUCACACCUCUUCAGGCCUCUUGUGACAGAUAAUUAUGGUUGAGCGUGAGCAUCAACAGGAAAGCAGACCUCUUAUCUCUGCAUUGGGCACUUAAAUGAGCAUUUUAAGGCAAAUUAUUAAUAACCGUGCUUGAGAAAAUGAUCUCAGCUAAAGUUUUGAGAUAUUGAGUUGUGUUAUAUCUGCAAGAAAAAGGCCAUUUCAAUGAUAAAAUGGGGGAGGGGCGUGUUAUGAGGUAACUUAUCUAGCAAAUAUUUAUUAUAUACCCUUAAUAUUUAAUAUCUUUAUUAGAGACCUUGGGAUAUAAGAUUCAGUUCCUGAUGGGCAGGACAGGAGUUUCCACCCCACAGCUUCCAGAUGCAUUUACUAUUGCAAAAGAUGUAUGAUAUAGAGAAAUCUCAGAAGCUCCAUAGAGUCUGAACACAUGAGAAGAUGAGACAUGAACCACCCCCAGCUCCUUCCCACCACCCCAGCUGACCCUGGGGAGUAUGCAGGAGGGGCUGCCUCAUGGGAGACGGUAGAGGCAAAGGCAAAGGGUGUGUGUGCGAUAGAAGCAAAUCAACUCCUCUGGACCUGAAGUGCUUGGGGGACAUCCAAGCUGGUGUCUCCCCUUGAAUCUGCCCUUUCUGACAGAUGACACACUGCAGCCCUCCUGCUGUUGUUCUAGACCUGUGAUGUUCGUCACCCACUCCCACUUCUCAGAUGUAGAAGCUUGCUUUCAGAGGAACAGUCUUCUAGUCACAUAGCUCAAUGGCUGGAUUUGAACUCAGAACAACCUUGACCUCAACCCAAGCAGGUGAGGGGUUUACGGCCUUUUCAGAGUGUAGCAUAGCCCUGGUAUACAAAAAGGCCCAACAUGUGUUUGAUGAAUGAAUUCAGGGUGAAACAUUCCCUUAAGUAAUUAUUCUGCUAAUAUUUUGUUGUUAACCCUUUCUUUAAGCUUUUAUUUCUGGAGUCACAGAGAAGACCCACCCUAUACUGCCUAUAAAUACAGCAGUACAGAGGCUAGAUCAGUGUGUGUGUGUGUGUGUGUGUGUGUGUGUGUGUGUGUGUUCAUGCGUGGGCAGGUGCAGAGGUGCAUGUGUGCCUAUGCAAUUAGAGGCCAGAGGUCACACUCCCAGGUGCCUUCCCCAGUCACCCUCCAUCUUGUUUUUUUUUUUCUUUUCCUUUUUCUUUUUCUUUUUUCUUUUCUUUUUUUUUUUUUUUUUUUUUUUUUUUUUUUUUUUUUGAGACAGGGCCUCUCACUUUACCUGGAACUCACUGAUUCAGCUAGGCUGGCUGGUCAAUAAGCCACAGCCAUCUGCUUGUCUUUGCCUCCCCAGCUCUGGGAUGAUAAACACAUCUCACCAUGCCUGAUGUUUUUACAUGGGUUCUGGGAUCAAAUUAGGUCCUCAUAUUCAUGUGAUAAGCACUUUACCAACUAAGCCAUUGCUCCAGCCCCAGUGUGGUGGUUUGAAUAUGCUUGGCCCAGGGGAGGUGUGGCCUUGUUGGAGUAGGUGUGGCCGACUUCACAAGGAGGAAGUGUGUCAUGUCACUGUGGGGUGGACUUUGAGACCCUCCUCCUAGAUGUCUGGAAGCUAGUCUUCUCCUAGAGGCCUUCAGAUCAAGGUGUAGAACUCUCAGCUCCUCCAGUGCCAGACCUGCCUGGUUGCUGUCAUGCUUCCCGGUCUGAUGAUAAUGGACUGAACCUCUGAAGCUGUAAGUAAGCCAACCACAAUUAAAUGUUGUCCUUUAUAAGAAUUGCAUUGGUCAUGGUGUCAGUUCACAGCUACAAAACCCUAACUAAGACAGCCAGAAUAUGUUUUUGUAACUCCAUUUUGCAGAGUAAAGAACCAAAGCUUAGAACAUUUAAGUGAUUUGUCUAAAGUCACAGAGUAUGGCUUUGCAGGACUGAGUCUGACUAAGGUUAGUACUCUUUCUCCAUCACCUCCUCUAAAGAGUCUAAGGUAGACUCUUCGAUGCAUGCGCAGUUUCUCAUUAGCAUUAUAAGAAGUGAACAUAACUAUUUUACUAGUGGUCACAUUUACUAAAUGCAGUAAGCUUUCUGUGACUUUUGUUUUGUCAGGUGUUGCUGCUUUCAUGCUGGGUUCUGAGGCCUGAAUGCUGCUUCCAUCCUGGAGUCAGUUGUGCUAAGGUCUCCGGCCUGUUACACAUCGAAAAUAAAGACAGAAACAUACUUAUUCUCUACUGUGACAAUCAUACCAGGGAGAUGUAUGGUGCACCAGGGGGACGGAACUGCAAAUGGCUGAAAGGCGAUUAUUUAAGGUUCAGGCUCCCCUGUUUAGGGUAUAGAAAUAAAUAGAGGAAAGUAGAGGUCAAACAGAACCUGCUGCAAAUGGAAGGCAAACAGGCCUGCUUUGUGUGCAACAGCAACACCUGCUUGACAACAGCCAUUUCUGCAGCCUCUUAGUGGCUAUCUUGCAAACAACAGCUGUAGCUUCCCAGUUUCUCUGCAUGCACUCUCGGGGCAUGAGGAGUGUCUUAUCCUGCUGUCUCCUUCCUCUGUUCCUAGUGGUCUCAUCCUCACCUGGGCUGACCUGUCCUGACCUGUGCUGGUCAGGCAGGGAUGGAACAAUGGCUGUCACAGAGGCUCUUUGAGUUAAAGUUGACCACAUCUGUGCAUGCUGUAAGCCAGACAGGCUUGCUUCAAAAUCCCCCAACACCCUGUCCUCUGGCUCAGUCUUUCCCCCAGAAAAGUACUGGGCAGGUUGCUAUGUGCUUUCCAGUUUCCAGGGACACUAGGGAAUCUGUGUCCCCCAAGCUUGGCAGGAGCUCUACCAUUGUCCUCUCCUACAGGCUUUGGUCCAUCUUAUGCCUCCUCUCCUGAUUGUAGGAAAAGCUCCUGGGACACUUGGUGCCUCCUAUUUAAGCCCUGGAAUCUGUUUGCAUUGCAACAAGGCAUACUGGCUACUCAAUAGGAACUUCUUUUUUCACCCUGAGUCCUACCCCAUUCCAGGCUUUACCACCCCUAGAAGGCUCCUGACCCUCUACUUGUCACAGGCACUGUGAUAACCAGAGCCUUCUCUCCCUGUCCUUGUGUAACACCCUCCCUUUCCUUGUUGCCUUCUCUGGAAGGGGGGUGGGGUGAGCCCCGAGUUCACCAAAGGGGGCAGCUCCUUUCUGGUUUUCAUUCUUUCUUCCAUCUACUUCUCCUUGGCAUGUGGAGCCAGGCAGUCUUCUCAGUGUGGGUUUGAGGGAGUGGCUGGUUCUCUCCAGUAUGCAGGAGGUGCAGGUGGAGACGGAGGCGGAGGUUGAGGUGGAGACACGGGUGAAGGUGGAGGUGGACAGUCCCUGGCAGCCAGCAGGGACAGGAGGCUUUUCUUUUCCUUGGCUUGCUUCAUUGCCUGUCACUAUGUCUGCCCAUGUGUUUCCCUGCGUGCUCAUCUGCUUUUCUAGUCCUGAAUGUAGUGUGGAGAGAGGACCCAGCCCAUGGCACCUGGGAAGACAUGCCAUGCUGCAGGUGCAGAGGCUCACACAGGCUCACACAGGCUCACACAGUCUCUGCUGGUCCACACUCCAGUUGCUUGUCCUUGGUUCCUGGGGAUGUGAGGGUUCAUUUUGACAUCCCAGUGUUGUGUGACUGUGUUCAUCUUGACUUCCAAAUGUUGUGUGACUUUUCCUAGGGAAAUGAACAAACACCUGUCUAUCCCAGAUGGGGUACUAAUGACAAAUAGUCUAUUGUGGUGACAGUGGAUUUAUUGGGGUUACUUACAGGACCAUGGGUGGCUGUUGCCUUGCAAAAAGUCCUCCCUAGCAUGGUGACAAUUCACAAGACUACAUCCCUGGGGCACCCUGUGCAACUUAUAGGCAGCUCCACACAAGAGUCUCCCCCUCCCUCAGUAAUUUUUUAAUGCUUAGGUAAUCCCUGGGAGGAGCUUAUGAAUCUUAGCCAUUCCUUGGGUGUUUUAUGAGCCUCCUGCCUCCCUCUGGUCUAGAGAAAACAGUCACUUGGCUGUGCUCACCAGCUCUGCUAGAGAGGAAGAAGGGAGGGAAGAGAGGGGAAUGGCUGCCAGCAGGGAUGGCUGCCUCUCAUGCAUCCUUUGGUCACUUCCAGCAUGUCCUACAGUCCUGCGAGAGGAGAGCUCCACAGAUAUCACAGGGAGUGCCAUGCCAUCUGGUAAGAGCCUCUCAGACAUUGUUUAGAUAAUUUGGGCAAGCGGCAGGAUUUUAUUUCCCCCUCUAAAUUGUUUAAUGUUAAAUCCAGGUACAAAGGUGGACAUGAGUGGACAUUGUCCCACCCCCUGCUUGGCAAGUCUUGAGAUUCUUCCUUCAUUGGUAGAAAAACGUGUGACACUUAAGUUCUGCACUGAAGCUUGACCUCUAAUCUGUCCCCAGAGUCUCCUGCCUUCUGCUGGAACCAAAAGCCAUGUCGCGUUACUGAAGACACAAGCCAGUGAGAGCUGGACCCAGUGGUGUGGUUUGGUCCCAGCUACCCAAGAGGCUGAUUGUUUAUGACCAGAUUCUCUCCAGCACCUAGGACUGCCUGCUGUGAAUCUCAAUGUCUGCCCUGUAUCCUGCGCAGAAAGCAUCAAAUGCUGCACUUUCAAUGAACCUUACACUAUCUAUAGGGCCCCCCUUUUCCAAGGAAUGUAUUAAAUACAUAAAUACAUUCAGUUCAGUAUUUCUUCCUUCUCUUGCGUGCCUUGGAGGGAAACUGAGUAACAUUGGAGGCUGUGAUUUAGUCUGAACCAAUAGGAAAGCCAGGAAUUUGAAAGGGUUGAGAGUCUAGAGCUGCUCUGCCUCAGGAUAGCAAACUCCCAAGCUAAGGCGGCCAUGGUGCAUGGUAUCCAUAAACUAGACACUGUGUUAGUGAUGUCCUGCUUAGUAAAGACUAACGAGAAAUUCAAAUCAGGUCAGGAGAAAUGUGGCUCACACCAGUUAGACGAUCCAGAGGAAGGAAGGAAACAGAUGCUGCAUAUAAACCCCUGUGCAGGUAAGGUAUUCUGUAAAAUGCUCUAUGACUGUGUUGAGGGACAUUGUCAGGAAAAUGGGUGACAUACAGUGGAGUAAUCAGGUACGUAAACACAUUAAGGACAAUAUAAGCAAUAUUACUACCAGAAAGAGAAGUCUUUGAAUUUUUUCUUUUAUUAGAUUUAUUCAUUUUUUUGUGUUUUUUCUACAUGUAGUGUGUGUAUAACAUGCAGGCUUGGUGUCUAUAGAGGUCAGAACAAGGCAUUGGAUACCCUGAACUAGAGUUAUGGAUGGUUAUGAACCACCUUUGGUGCUGGGAAUCGAACCCAGGUCCUCUGCAAGAACAAAAAUGCACCUAAUGGCUGAGCCAUCUCUUCAACCCUGAGAAGUCUUACAAGAUGGAAAGAGACUGUUUCAUAACUAAAAGAGGACAAACACCCCAGAGUCAAUGGUACUGUAGAAUCAAAGGUCACACGAUCAGUGUAGAUGGACACACACACACAUACACACACACACACACAUACACACACACACACAUACAUACACACACACAUACACACACAUACACACAUACAUACACACACACACACGGGGGGGGGGGGGCAUGUGCAUGCAUAACUCUUCCUUAACUCUCAUCCACAGAGAAGACUAUGCUAUCCCAAGAAGACAGAGCACACCUCAUACCCAGAUCUUUGUUUGCAAAGACUACGUUACCCGAACAGUGUCCAGAGCUCCUUAAAGAAGUGGCUGAUUCUGGGUCUGGGAUAAGACAUACAAGAUAAGCCUGGGUCAUCUGAUACCAUAACGAAAGAAAUGUCAGAUGAGAGAGCUGGCAAGAUGGCUCCACAGGCAAAGAGCUUGCCUGACAGGAGAGAAUGACUCCAGAGUUCUCCUCUGACCCCCACGUGUGCAUCUAACCCCACCCCACACAUACAUCUCACACACUAAUAACAACUCUUUAAAAAAGUGAUACUCAUCAAAAAGGACAUAGAAACCAGCUGAAGAGGCUACCAUGACCAUAUUUGGGACUAUUUGAUCAAUAAAAUAUACAUGUGUACUGUGGCAGGUUUUGGUGGGGCAAUACAGGGUCUCACUAUGUAUAUAGAUCAGGCUGGCCUCGAACUCAUAGAACUUGUCUCUGACUCCUGAGUGCUAGGAUUAAAGGCAUGUGCCACCACAUCCAACAUACCAAAUUACAUAUUGAAUUAAGUAAAAUAUGAGCCCAUGCUGACCAAACACCAAAACCAAAACCAAACAAAUAGAAGUACACGAGCUGAGUGCUAGGUGAGGGGCGGGUGCUUCACCAUUCCCAGAGGCCCAGGGAGGACAUUGCUACGGAGGAACCUGGCAGGCCCUGCCCUCCAGCAAACGACCUGGUGGAUAUCAUCCACAGAGAACAGACUGCAACGUCGCAAUCUCUGUUAGAACCACAGACACACGAUCACUCCUGUAGCCUCCUGCCAAAGCUGAAGGACCUGAAUCUCUUCACAAGGAAACGUCAGAGGAGCUGAGACUGAGAUGCAGUCUAGAAAAUCCCCGGCUGAUAAUAUUCAAAACCUCCGUGUUCUGAAAAGCAGGCACACACUGACAGGAAUGCCAAAAUCUCCGAAUGGGCCUGUAGAGGUUACUUCUGUUGGUUCAGUUUAACAUUUUGUUAGAUCUGUUUUGCUAUGCAUGCGUGUUUUGCCUGCGUGUAUGUGCUUGGAGGCUGUGUAGCUCAGAAGAGGGUGUCAGAUCCCUGAAAUUGGAGCCACCCAUGGCUGUGAGCCACCACUGUAUGUGCAAUAUAUGUGGGGUGUAUGGAUGCACACGUGGAGGUCAGAGGACUACUCUGAACCACAAACAAGUGCUUGUUUUGUGUGUUGAGCUGUCUCCCAUGCCUUCCAUCAUUGUUUUUUGUUUGUUUGUUUGUUUGUUUGUUUACACAGUUCCUUUGUUUAUGAUACCAGAUGGGUGGGUGGGUUGGUUUUUUUGAGACGAGGUCUCUCUUUGUAGCUGUAGCUGUCCUGGAACUCAUUAUGUAGACCAAGCUGACCCAGAACUCACUAUGUAGACCACACUGGCCUGAAACUCACUAUGUAGACCAGGCUGGCCUGAAACUCACAGUGCUGGGACCACACCUGGGACCAAUCUUGUUUGUGUUUCAUGAGUUGCACAUGAAGAUUGGACAAUGUGCAUUUUUAAGGUCACUAUGUCCUGUUAAGGGAAUUGUUUAUUUUUAUUAUUAUUAUUAUUAUUACUAUUAAUUUUAUUUUUGAUUCAGGGUUCCGUGUAUUUCAGGCUAUUAUGAAAUUCACUGUGUAGCCUAUAAUGACCUUGAACUAUAUCUCUAAAGUGUUGGGAUUACAGGCAUAUAUCACUGAAAUCCAGUUUAUGCCAUGCUGGAGAGAGAACCCAGAGCCUCAAGCAUUCCAGCAAACACUGCAUGCUCAGCUACACCUCCAGCGCUCAUUUGCCAUUUCCCCACAUCAUCAGCCAUACUUCUGAUCUCAAAGCCCAUUUUUAUAACAACAGAGCUGCACUAACAUUCUCAGGAUUAGUGUUUGGUUCUUUUGAGCCUUUUACUUUUGGUCCUUCUAUGUUUAUAUCUAUUGUGUACCUUCUGUUAGUAGCAGGAACUUCAUUUAAAACACACACACACACACACACACACACACACACACACACACACACGACAAGGUAUAUCUUUUACUGAAGUAUUUAGCCCACUUGGAGUCACCACAGCUCCUAGCAUGGUUAGGCUCAGUCUGCCAUUUUGCCCUUUCUGUUCGCCUGACUUGUCCUCAUUUUCUUGAGGAUUAGCCUUGAACUUUGCAGUGUUCUCAUUUGCCUCGUUUGCUUUCUAGCUACACCCAGCAGAGUUCUAACUCUCCCAUCUGUCUUUCUAUCACUUAUUGAUCUAGGGAGAGAAUUUAUUACGUAAAGAGUCAGUACAGACUCUUGAGUCAUUACAACUCACCUUGAAUUAACAUUACUCUAUUUCUCAGAGACACAACAGUACUUCAUGUUGUUUCCCAUCCUGUGUUGUUUUGUUGUGCAUUUUAUCUUCUCUAUGUGUUAUAAACCCCUCUAAACACUGUUUUCAACUUUGGCAAUGAAUAGUCUUUCAAAGUCUUCUGUCUUAAAUUUUUUUUUAGAUUCACAAGAAGAAAGUAACAUGAAAUCCUGACUGCCCAUCCCUCACCACAUAGUGCCACAUUGCCUGAUCACUACCAUAGAACUAGGAAGCCUAUUGGUUCAGGACUUUAGACUGUUUCUUUCCCAGAUUUUUGCAGAUAAGUGCAUAAGUGUGCCUUUCUGCAGUGUGCGCUUGUGUGGUUUAUAUAGUUACCCAUGAAGAUAGACCUGUCCACUGCUGCACAGGAAUGACCGGGCGCUUUGGUGUAAUGCUCAUUUCUUGUCCCUCCACUCUCUGUUCUCCUGGCACCCAUGAACUUGUUCUCCAUCUCUACAAUUACUUUGAGAAUGCUGUAGAAUUUAACUCUUAUAGGAUAUAGUCUUGAGAUAGCUUUUCAUUCUUUAAUGAUGCCCUAAAAUCCAAUCAACCAUGUGUGUCACUGAUCAAUACAUUUUGCCCCUUUUAAUUACAGAGUAGUGUUCCAUUAUAGAAAUCUAUCACAGUUAGUUUAUCUAUUCACCUGCUGCCUUAAUUACUUUUGUAUUGGUCUGAUAAGACACCAUGGUCAAGGGAACUUAGAGGGGUGGGAAUUUACAAGGGCUUACAGUUUCUGAGUGUGAGUCUGAGACCAUUAUGGCAGUGCACAGGUGGGUAUGAUGCCGACAGUAGCUGAAGCUUACAUCUGUUCCACAAGCAGGAAGCAGGCAGAGAGCUAAAACGGAGUGUGGGUACCACUGGGAAUGGUGAAGGCUUUGAAACCUCCAAGCCCUCACCCAGUGACACAUCUCCUCCAACAAGGCCACACCUCCUAAUUCUUCCAAAACAGUUCCAUUACCUGGAGACCAAGUAUUCAAACUUAAGGGCCUUUGGGAGCCAUUCUCAUUCAGAUUACUGCACCUGUUGAGGGCAUUUGGACAUUUUUAUAUUUUGGCAGUUAUGAAUAAACCUUCUAGAAACACUCAUGCACAAGGUUUUAUGUGAGACAAUAGUUCUCAUUCCUCUGGGAUAAAUUCCCAAGAUGGCAGGUGCUGGGCCAGUGGUAGGUAGGUGUUGUGGGUGGGUGUUGUAACCACUUGGUGUUCUCCAGAGUGUAUCCACCUCACACCCUGUCAUGGGCCUAUGUGUGAGAGCCACUCCCUCACAGUCUGAGCAGCCUACUUACUGACAUCCCAUUAGACUUUUAACACCAUUUUAUGGUGGUUCAAGUCUUCAUUUCCCCACAGUCAAUAGUGUUGAAGUCUUUGCUCAUGGUUAUCUGCCACCCGCUGGUCUGGCUUGGUGAAAAAUCCAUUAAUGCUUUUGGCCCAAUUUCUUUCUUUUUCCUGUUUUGAUUUUUUUGAGACAUGAUCUUGAGAUGUAGCUCAGCCUGGGCUUGCACGAGGAUGAAGGAGAAUGUGUAGAUUUUGUACUUCUGACCGUGGGUCACCUCUUUAAAUAUACUUCCCAAAUUCAUCUGUUUUUCUGCAAAUUCCACUUUUUUUCCAGUAGAAUAAAAUUCUGAUUAUUUUCAGAGUUCCUUUCCUUCCCUUUGUACCUUUACACCUGCUCACUCACCUUACGUUUUUCAUUUUAACUCAUUUCACACACACACACACACACACACACACAGACGCACACAUGCACACACACACACACACACACACACACAGACGCACACACACACACACAGACGCACACAUGCACACACACACACACAGAGUUAUUGUUUUUAUAAGGUUUUUUUUUUUUGGUCUGGUAAUUCUGAUAUCUUAGCCAUGCAUGGAUUUUUAUUAAUUUGCUGUUUCCUCUUGAUUAAAGAUUUCGUGUUGUGAUCAUUUUUUCCUGACGUUGUCAGACAUUGUUAAUGAUAUGUGUAUAGAUUCUGGGCUCCGCUGCUUUUGUUUGAGGUUGGAUAGCUUUUGUCCUAGAGAUGGCUAGAUUAUUAUUAGUGGCUACACUUGAUCUCAUACCGUUUGGGCUUUGAGCCAGGUUAUUAUUUUUUUUCCUUUACAGCUGAAAACUUUUGACAAAUGGAUUGUAAUAAAUCUCAGUGAAAAAUCUUGCAUGUUUUCAGACUUACAGUAAAUAACAGCCUAUGAUGUUGAUAUAUUGGAAAUAGUGUGGAUGCAGGCUCCCGUUAAUGUAAGUGAGGAUUUCUUCAGAAUCUAGACCAAUUCCAAUCAUUUUAAAUAUCAGAGUCCCUCUUGGAGGGAGUCUUAAAAUCAUGAUCUGCUGUAACACACCUCAUUUUAUCACUUAAAGAGUUUUCAUCACAGUUAUGAAAUCUUUGUAUUACAGUCUUUAAAUUUGUAUUGUAUUUAUUUAAUUUAUGUGUGGUACACAUGUGUGUCAAAUUCUUGUAGAUAUCAGAGGACAACUUACAGGGAUUUUCUCUUACUGUCUUGUGGGUCCCAGGGAUCAAGCUCAGGCCAUCAGGCUCAGCUGCAAGUGCCUGAGCUUGCUGAGCCCACUUCCUGGCUCAGAGUUACUAUCCUUGUUAUACAAUAACUGCAUCACAGUUGUACCACAAACACUUAGAUGAGCUCACAGAGAGAUUCUCUAUGGAGAGGCUUACUGCAGCAUUGUUUAUAACACAAAGAACAGAGAAAAGCAACCAUGUAUCUAUUUGUAGAUAAUUGAUUAAACAAAUGUACCUCAAGUUCUAUAUAUUCUAUACAAUGGAAUGUCAUACAAAUAACAUCCCUGUAUUUAAGGCUGUAGGAAAACACAUCCAUUGUGUAUUGAUCAAGAAAAGCUUGUUAAACAGAAUAAUCUGUUUUCCAUUAAAAACAAACAAACAAACCUUCAA